rnacentral:tRNA from 3 species
GCCGGUGUAGCUCAGUUGGUAGAGCAGCGCAUUCGUAAUGCGAAGGUCACAGGUUCGACUCCUGUCUCCGGCACCA